AGAGUUUGAUCCUGGCUCAGGACGAACGCUGGCGGCGUGCUUAACACAUGCAAGUCGAACGAAGCUUGAUUACGGAUUCUUCGGAUGAAGUAUGAUAUGACUGAGUGGCGGACGGGUGAGUAACGCGUGAGUAACCUGCCCUUCAGAGGGGGAUAGCGUUUGGAAACGAACGGUAAUACCGCAUAAUGUAUUUUGACCGCAUGAUCGAAAUACCAAAGAUUUAUCGCUGAAGGAUGGACUCGCGUCUGAUUAGGUAGUUGGUGGGGUAACGGCCUACCAAGCCGACGAUCAGUAGCCGGACUGAGAGGUUGAUCGGCCACAUUGGGACUGAGACACGGCCCAGACUCCUACGGGAGGCAGCAGUGGGGAAUAUUGCACAAUGGGCGCAAGCCUGAUGCAGCAACGCCGCGUGAAGGAAGACGGUUUUCGGAUUGUAAACUUCUGUUCUUAGUGAAGAAUAAUGACGGUAGCUAAGGAGCAAGCCACGGCUAACUACGUGCCAGCAGCCGCGGU
rnacentral:rRNA from 1 species